rnacentral:rRNA from 1 species
UGCCAGACUCCUACGGGAGGCAGCAGUGAGGAAUAUUGGUCAAUGGGCGCGAGCCUGAACCAGCCAAGUCGCGUGGGGGAUGAAGGAUCUAUGGUUCGUAAACCUCUUUUAUAAGGGAAUAAAGUGCGGGACGCGUCCCGCUUCGCAUGUACCUUAUGAAUAAGGAUCGGCUAACUCCGUGCCAGCAGCCGCGGUAAUACGGAGGAUCCGAGCGUUAUCCGGAUUUAUUGGGUUUAAAGGGUGCGCAGGCGGAAUGUCAAGUCAGCGGUAAAAUUUCGGGGCUCAACCCCGUCGUGCCGUUGAAACUGGCGUUCUUGAGUGAGCGAGAAGUAUGCGGAAUGCGUGGUGUAGCGGUGAAAUGCAUAGAUAUCACGCAGAACUCCGAUUGCGAAGGCAGCAUACCGGCGCUCAACUGACGCUCAUGCACGAAAGCGUGGGUAUCGAACAGGAUUAGAUACCCCAGUAGG